GGAGAAACAUCAAGUCCGCCUAGGGGUUGAGUUUCUAUUAACAGCCACUAAGGCCGACUUUUGACUGGAAAAUGGUUCCAUAUUGCUAUUUUCUAUUAAUUUAUGGAAAAGUUGUCCAAAAUAUAUUGGUUGAGCGGAUAUUAUUUUCAAAUUUCAGAAUAAUUACCAUAUAUAUUUAUGCCUUUUUUGAACUGUGGUAAAUCAAUGAAUAUUUACCACAGAAAAUGUAAGGUGCAAUUAAGCAACAAUGCCAAAUAACGGAAUGCAGAAAAUGCUUAUUCAAUGAAACAAGGUUUAUAAAUUUGCAAAACAAUCUUCGUAAAAUAACGAAUAUUUAAUAAUGCUCCUGAUAAAACUGAUCACACUAGAACUUUUAUCAAUAAGCAGAGGAAGCCUGUAAAAAUUAAUAAACCGAAGGCCGCCAGUGCGGCGCAAAAUCUGACUUUUAAAUUUCUUUAGUAUUUUUUUUCACAAGAAAAUGUUUAACUCGCUGAACUGGUAAUUACAGCUAAGUGAUCUGAAUUCUGAAGAAUUUUGCCGCUACAACAAGAACAACAACUAAAUGACUUGAAAAAUAUGUGCGUUAAAUAAUAUUGUAAAUAUAUACAUAAAUUGUUGAAAAAAUUAAUUUUCCGCUCACGGAUAUAAAAUAUUCGCGUCUAAAAAAGAUGAUUAAAAAAAAAAUUCAUUUUUGAGGCCUUCUUAGUUGGGGGACCUAAACUAUACAUUUACCAAAUUUGGAAACUGAUAAAAAAUAAACAAAAAUUACGUUGUAAAUGAUACAAAAUUGCUUACAUGUAAAUUACCAUACUCCUACGAUCAAACUGCUUUUAUCAAAGUAAAUGUUUUAGUGUGCAUCUAAUUGUUUCCAAAGCUAAUAUGUGGCCAGUAUUAUAGUGCUCACCACCAACAAAAGUUAGAAUCGUGAAUUUCUUCAUUUGCAACACUUCUAUUUGCAUUCAUUGAAACAAUUUAAAAAUCUAACCUGAUAAUAUAAGUACUUUAAAUAAAAACAUGAUUUUUUCUG